GAAUCAUUUUUUAUUAAUCCUGGAGUAGGACGCUCAUCAUGCAAGGAUCAACGAAGACUCUAGUCAUUACAAUCGCGCGGAAAGUAAUGAAUAGAGUAUUGCAUCGUUUAAAUAAAUAAAAUAAAAAUCGCGAAGUAGAAGCAACGUUCGUUCGUUAUUAUUAUUCGUUCGUGUUUCGCGUCUUAAAUUUUAGAAACAUAUAUAUUUAAAUUGACUGCGAGCAAAGCAGUCAGUUGUAGAUUUAGAGUUUUUUUCGCAAAAAGUAUUUUUUCUUUUUAAACAGUCGCACAGACUGUUCGCGUAUCAGAGUCAGUGCAUCAUUGAAGAUGGUGAAGAGAUUAGUAUACUUCUUCUAUAGAAGAAUAUUGAUCGUCGUUGAAAUUCUGCUUUUAUUAGUCUAUAAGGAUGUUGAGUUUGCUCAUUUUUUAUCUACCUCUACGUCGACCCAUCUCAAUUUCAACCUCCUAUGGAUCAGCCAUCCUCUAUUCUGAUCUACAACGCGGACGAGUGUUUUGGAGCCAUCGCAGAACUUCUUAAGUAGUGAGCGAAUAAAUUUAAGUCCCUCCGGUGCUCAAUCAUGCCGAGGAUGAAAGAUCCGAAUCGG